UGAGUACGAAAUGCUACGGCAUUGAAGCAGUCUAUGUCAUACUUCCUAGAAAAGCUUGCACUGUCAUAAACAAAUAAUGCCUGUACCAUAACCGACACAGGUGGGUAGGUAGAGUAUACUAAGGGGCGCGAGAUAACUCUCUCUAAGGAACUCGGCAAAAUGACUCCGUAACUUCGGGAGAAGGAGUGCCUUAUUUAUAAGGUUGCAAUAACAAGAUCCAAGCAACUGUUUAUCAAAAACACAGGUCUCCGCUAAGUCGUAAGACGAUGUAUGGGGGCUGACGCCUGCCCAGUGCCAGAAGGUUAAAGAAGUUGGUUAGCAUUCGCGAAGCUGAUAACUGAAGCCCUGGUGAACGGCGGCCGUAACAAUAACGGUCCUAAGGUAGCGAAAUUCCUUGUCGGGUAAGUUCCGACCCGCACGAAAGGCGUAAUGAUUUGGAUACUGUCUCGGAGAGGGGCUCGGUGAAAUAGACUUGUCUGUGAAGAUGCGGACUACCUGCACCUGGACAGAAAGACCCUAUGAAGCUUUACUGUAACUUGAAAUUGAAAUUGGACUUUAUUUGCGCAGUAUAGGUGGGAGGCAUUGAAGAUAUUCUUGCGGGAAUAUUGGAGCCAUCAGUGAGAUACCACUCUUGUAAUGUUAGAUUUCUAACUUUGUAUCAUUAUCUGGUCAAAGAACAGUUUCAGGCGGGCAGUUUGACUGGGGCGGUCGCCUCCCAAAUGGUAACGGAGGCGCACAAAGGUUUCCUCUGAACGGGUAGAAAUCGUAUCUAGAGUGUAAAGGCAUAAGGAAGCUUGACUGUGAGACCUACAAGUCGAGCAGGGACGAGAGUCGGUCUUAGUGAUCUGACGGUGCUGAGUGGAAAGGCCGUCACUCAACGGAUAAAAGUUACUCUAAGGAUAACAGGCUGAUCUCCCCCAAGAGUUCACAUCGACGGGGAGGUUUGGCACCUCGAUGUCGGCUCAUCGCAUCCUGGGGCGGUAGUACGUCCCAAGGGUUGGGCUGUUCGCCCAUGAAAGCGGUACGCGAGCUGGGUUCAGAACGUCGUGAGACAGUUCGGUCCAUAUCCGGUGUAGGCGUUAGAAUAUUGAGAGGAGCCUUCUUUAGUACGAGAGGACCGAGAAGGACAUACCUCUGGUGUACCAGUUAUUGUGCCAACGGUAAACGCUGGGUAGCUAUGUAUGGAGAGGAUAACCGCUGAAAGCAUCUAAGUGGGAAGCCCACCUCAAGAUAAGUAUUCUCAC
rnacentral:rRNA from 1 species